rnacentral:rRNA from 1 species
CAGCAGCCGCGGGAAUACGUAGGUGGCAAGCGUUGUCCGGAAUUAUUGGGCGUAAAGGGCUCGCAGGCGGUUUCUUAAGUCUGAUGUGAAAGCCCCCGGCUCAACCGGGGAGGGUCAUUGGAAACUGGGAAACUUGAGUGCAGAAGAGGAGAGUGGAAUUCCACGUGUAGCGGUGAAAUGCGUAGAGAUGUGGAGGAACACCAGUGGCGAAGGCGACUCUCUGGUCUGUAACUGACGGUGAGGAGCGAAAGCGUGGGGAGCGAACAGGAUUAGAUACCCCAGUAGUCCCUGUCUCUUAUAC